AAAAAACAUUAAUGUGACUAGCGCCUCACCAAUUCCCCAUGCAGCGUAUUCCUCUCCCUAUUCAUCUUCUCCAAUCUCCAUCAAAUCCCACUAUGCAAUUACUCCAUCGAUUCAGUUACUCUUACCAUCUGCUAUAUAUCCCCGGGCCGCAUGCGAUUUGGCAAGGUAUAUGCGAUGGCGGUCGUCCCUCCUUGCGAUGAGAUCCGUAGGCGGUCUUACCCGCCCUGCCUCCGGCUUCCCCGGCAUAGGAACAGCCGCCCUGGAAGAAGAGCCCCUCGCGGUGGAUUCCACUACACCGACAUUGACCCUGGCCACUCCCGGCGAUUACCAUGCGGUCGCGUGUCAGGUGCCUCGACAGAAGGCCGGGAAGGCUCCCCAUGGAGUGGCCAACCCUGCUCGGUGUCGCGCAUCCGCCGCUCAACUUCCCCACCCCGCAUUAGGCGUUCGCAGGUCUUCUAGACUUUCGUAUUGUUUGCAUGUUUAUUUAUUUGUAUGUUGAGAUUAACACUAUAUCAUAGUGAUGCAUGUGUUCAUACUAUUUGAAUUCCCACUGAUGCAUGUUUAUUGUUUUGUUCUUCUGGAUUACUUUCGAAUUACGCUAUCCAAUUUCCUGCAUCAGUACAAGAAGCAUAGAUGGUUAUGAUACUAGGAGGGUUGGAGCUCUGACAUGCACUAUACCAUAACAGGAAAAAAGAUUAGAUCAGAUUGUCAAGCAGUUCAAGCAAUUCUUGAGGACUGCAGAUUGUAUCUGUAGCUCUAUGUUUUAAAGUUUACUUCUAGAUCUUCAAGCAUAUGUCGUCUCACCAUCAUGUUUCAGCUUUACCAGGAGUAUUUCUUCUUUAUUUCAGUUUCUUUCAAGAAUCAAGACUACCAUGGACAAUCAAAGUCAGUAUAUAAAUAAUAUUUCAACUCAUGUACGCCUAAAGUAUUGUCUACAUGUUGCCAUGAAAAUAGUAGCUACAUGGAUCAUCAGAUUAAGGUAAAUGCAUAUCUCAAUACAUCAUGCUUAUUAUAAUUUCUAAUUGUCGUUUUGUGGGGAGUAGGAAAUACAGAAGUGCAUUAGUAAGAAAUUUGUACAAAAGUCCGACUUACAGCUAUUUGUGGUCGUUAUUAGAAGGGCAAAGGGAGAUUCCUAACUCUGAUGGUCACAAACAUAGUCUAAGUAUCAGGGGCAAUAACCACCCUGCAAGGCUCCAAAAAGGUAUUUGUUUCCCUUACCAUGUCCAUGAUGUAGCUCUGAUGACUAAGUAAAGUUCUGUCACUUUGCACACGUAAUCCUCUCCCUUUCUUUUGCGUGUCUGUGAUCAUACACUCAGGUUUUUCUUUCUAUUUUGUUAAUCAUUCAUGCCUGAUGCUUUUUCAUUCCUUCCCCUCCCCUCUCACUGUUGUUCAUCAGGAUUGUCGCAACUACCUGCGUCUUGGUUCCGGUUCAACCUUCUGACCGCAGGGCAUUGCUUCUACUGCAAAGAUUAACACUAUACUUCGUAUGAUAUAAGAUAACCCUGUCAAGAAUUUUAUGUUUAAUAUAGUCGCUUUGUGAUUAUCUCUAUUCUACAGUCUGGAUGUUCAAGCAAUAACAUGGUUUGCUUCUUUAUUCUUGCAUGUAUACAACACUUUAUAGCCAUUCUUUUAUAUUUUAACCAAAUACAUAUAAUCUCACACAACACUGACAGCCGACGACCUUCUCUACUCUUGAAUCGAUAUGAAUGACCAAUGAAGAUUUUAAUUUCCAAAUACAUAUUCUAUUUAUCAGCCCUUUGGUUAUAUUGUCAUAGAAUAUAGUGACAAGCUUGAAAGAAGACAUAAGUGGAUGUCUUAGAUAUGAAUGGCAUAAAAGUUAGUCGUAUGUAGUGUGUUUCUGACAAAUUAAGUGUAUGUGCCAUUUUUUUCAAUUGUUACCGUAAGUAUACAUGUUAUCAAUCAUAUAGAAACGAUUCAUCCUUAAAUACUUUUUUAAACUAUGAUAACUUAAUACUAUGAUCCGAUGUUCUAGCAAUAACAUGGUUUAUUCGUUUGUGCAGAACCAAACAUGUACACCUUGCAGUCUAGGCAUUGUUUUAUAUUAUUCCCAUAUAUCAAUAUGAGUUCACACAACACUGAUGGCCGACAACCUUCUCUACCCUUGGAUUAGGAUCCCACAUAUGAUUGAUGGGUGAAGAUUUUUUUCUCUACACUUGCAUCGAGCUAAUUUUUAUCAUUGUAGAACUUCAGUCAAGAAGACAGUUAACUUAUAUUUUGUUUUCAUUUAGAAUAUGGUUUGUCAAUUCUAGCUUAUAAGCCUUUUAUAUGGAAUUCCAUGGAUCCUAUAUUUCUAUUCAGACAACAUUGGCAGCCUUUAAUUCCAUUGACACUGCUACCUUGCAAUACACAUCGUGAACAAAAGUAAGAGCAACCUUAUACUAUAUAUACAAAACUUCAGAGAUGUGAAAUGAUCCCUCAGUCCACCUUACUGAUUACUAUGCUAAGACAACUAUUCACUUUGGUUUUGCUGAAAGGAGUCUGCCACAUCCAUGCAUGGAUACAGAACCACCAUGCAUUCUAUUAUGCUACUUAUAUGCAAU
rnacentral:rRNA from 1 species